AGCAGAGGAAGCCCUGUGUGAGCAUGUAAGGAGUAGAUGAAUUCUGAGUGCAUGUGUGUUGUUGGCAUGUUUCACCAUGUCAAGGAUUUCCGUGUGUCCAACUCAUGGAAUCUCGAAAGCAUCCCUCAGGAACAGAAACCCUGAUUAAGACACCAGCUUUGCUCGCUCCCUCUGCCUGCAGCUUUCUCUUGAUCUGCAACUUGUGGAUAAGAUGUGAGUUCUCAACUACUUCUCUAGCACCAUGCCUGCCUACCUGCUGAAGUGAUCUUCACCACAAUGAUAACCCUCUGAAACUCUUCCAUGUCACAACUAGAGUUGGAAAAUUAUCUCAACUUAUGCUGUUGUGUACAGCACCAUGUCCCAAGUACACCUCCUGCUGCUCUUGGCUGCCCUGGUACUGACCAGCCAUGUACACGGAGCCACACUGAGGAAUGAAGACACGUGGAAGCCUCUGAGCAACCCCAGAAACCGAGAACUGUUUUUCAGAAGCCUCCAGGCCUACUUUAAGGGCAGAGGACUUGAUCUUGGGAACCUUCCAAAUACCUUCUUCCUGAAUGAGGACCCCAGACCUCUCUCUUUCGGGUCUGAGCAUAUUGCUUCUGCAUUUGCAGACUACGAAGAGCAGAAAAACUCCCUCCGUAAUUCCUACAAAGGCUGAAAGCCCAGAUGACCAUGUUAAAGCUGCAGUAGAGCUUUCCAAGAGAAAAUUCAACCAGUGCUGAAGUCUCGUGUGUGUUUUCCCUUCCAUAUUAGUCAGUUUAUACUUAUUUUGCUCUGCAUUCCCAGAUUUUACGUGUAAACAGCUGAACCUUUGGAACACAUGAU
rnacentral:lncRNA from 1 species